rnacentral:rRNA from 1 species
UACGUAGGGGGCAAGCGUUGUCCGGAUUUAUUGGGCGUAAAGAGCGUGUAGGCGGCCAAACAGGUCAGCUGUGAAAACUCGAGGCUCAACCUCGAGACGUCGGUUGAAACCGUUUGGCUAGAGUCCGGAAGAGGAGAGUGGAAUUCCCGGUGUAGCGGUGAAAUGCGCAGAUAUCGGGAGGAACACCGGUGGCGAAGGCGGUUCUCUGGGCCUGUUCUGACGCUGAGGAGCGAAAGCGUGGGGAGCGAACAGG